rnacentral:rRNA from 1 species
CCUACGGGUGGCAGCAGUGCGGAAUAUUGGUCAAUGGACGAGAGUCUGAACCAGCCAAGUAGCGUGAAGGAUGACUGCCCUAUGGAUUGUAAACUUCUUUUAUAUGGGAAUAAAAUGUUCCACGUGUGGGAUUUUGUGUGUACCAUAUGAAUAAGGAUCGGCUAACUCCGUGCCAGCAGCCGCGGUCAUACGGAGGAUCCGAGCGUUAUCCGGAUUUAUUGGGUUUAAAGGGAGCGUAGGUGGAUUGUUAAGUCAGUUGGGAAAGUUUGCGGCUCAACCGUAAAAUUGCAGUUGAAACUGGCAGUCGUGAGUUGAGUAGAGGUGGGCGGAAUUCGCGGUGUAGCGGUGAAAUGCUUAGAUAUCAGGAAGAACUCCGAUUGCGAAGGCAGCUCACUGGACUGAAACUGACACUGAGGCUCGAAAGUGUGGGUAUCAAACAGGAUUAGAUACCCGAGUAGUC